rnacentral:piRNA from 1 species
GGCGAACGCAAUAGAACAACAAA